rnacentral:snoRNA from 8 species
UGCCUUGUGGUUCCUUAAGACAGCUCAUCGGUGCUGAUGCUUGAGGUUGUGUUUGACGGGCACACAUUGAUCUCUGCAAUUUAAUGCGUGGUGGCUGACAUUUCCAUGCAGCUUCCACAGCCCGGUUGCAGAAACAUGU